rnacentral:rRNA from 1 species
UACGGGGGGGGCAAGCGUUGUUCGGAAUUACUGGGCGUAAAGGGCUCGUAGGUGGCCAACUAAGUCACACGUGAAAUCCCCAGGCUCAACCUGGGAACUGCGUCCGAUACUGGAUGGCUUGAAUCCGGGAGAGGGAUGCAGAAUUCCAGGUGUAGCGGUGAAAUGCGUAGAUAUCUGGAGGAAUACCGGUGGCGAAGGCGGCAUCCUGGACCGGCAUUGACGCUGAGGAGCGAAAGCCAGGGGAGCAAACGGG